GGUUAAGUCCUAUAACGAGCGAAACCCUUUUACUUAAUUGCCWGCACGUAAUGGUGGGAACUUUAAGUAGACUGCCCGUGUAAGCGGGAGGAAGGAGAGGAUGAGGUCAAGUCAUCAUGGCCUUUAUGCCCAGGGCUACACACGUACUACAAUGGCAUGUACAAAAGGAAGCUACUUGGUAACAAGAUGCAAAUCUCAAAAGCAUGUCUCAGUUCGGAUUGAGGUCUGCAAUUCGACCUCAUGAAGUUGGAAUCGCUARUAAUCGCGUAUCAGCAAUGACGCGGUGAAUACGUUCUCGGACCUUGUACACACCGCCCAUCAAGCCAUGGGAGUUGGUAGAGCUUGAAGACAGUG
rnacentral:rRNA from 1 species